CCAGUCCCGCGUUUCCGCCCGGAGCGCUUUCCGUGCCGCGCUGCCGCCAUGGCCUACCCAGGGGAGGACUACGACAACGAGGCUGCCUACGACCCCUACGCGUACUCCAACGACUAUGAUAUGCACACGGGAGACCCCAAGCAAGACCUGGCUUACGAGCGCCAGUACGAACAGCAGACCUACCAGGUGAUCCCCGAAGUGAUCAAAAACUUCAUUCAGUAUUUUCACAAGACCGUGUCAGAUCUCAUUGACCAGAAGGUGUACGAGCUCCAGGCCAGCCGUGUUUCCAGUGAUGUUAUUGACCAGAAGGUGUAUGAGAUCCAGGACAUUUAUGAGAACAGCUGGACAAAAUUGACAGAAAGGUUUUUUAAGAAUACUCCGUGGCCAGAGGCUGAGGCCAUUGCUCCUCAAGUUGGAAAUGAUGCAGUUUUCCUGAUCCUAUAUAAGGAGCUGUACUACAGGCACAUCUACGCCAAAGUCAGCGGGGGACCCACGCUGGAGCAGAGAUUUGAGUCCUAUUACAACUACUGCAAUCUCUUCAACUACAUCCUCAAUGCUGAUGGCCCUGCUCCUCUGGAACUGCCCAACCAGUGGCUCUGGGAUAUCAUAGAUGAAUUCAUAUACCAGUUCCAAUCUUUCAGCCAGUACCGCUGUAAAACAGCCAAAAAGUCUGAAGAGGAAAUUGAUUUCCUUCGUUCCAACCCCAAGAUCUGGAAUGUCCACAGUGUCCUUAAUGUGCUGCACUCUCUGGUUGACAAAUCCAACAUCAACCGACAGCUGGAGGUCUAUACAAGUGGAGGUGACCCUGAAAGUGUUGCUGGUGAAUAUGGGCGUCACUCCCUGUACAAGAUGCUGGGCUAUUUCAGCCUGGUUGGGCUGCUGCGUCUGCACUCUCUGCUGGGAGAUUACUACCAAGCCAUCAAGGUGCUGGAGAACAUUGAGCUCAACAAGAAGAGCAUGUACUCCCGGGUGCCUGAGUGCCAGGUGACCACCUAUUACUACGUGGGCUUUGCAUACCUGAUGAUGCGGCGUUACCAGGAUGCCAUCCGUGUCUUUGCCAACAUCCUCCUCUACAUCCAGAGGACAAAGAGCAUGUUUCAGAGGACAACCUACAAGUAUGAGAUGAUCAACAAGCAGAAUGAGCAGAUGCACGCGCUGCUGGCCAUCGCCCUCACCAUGUACCCCAUGCGCAUAGACGAGAGCAUCCACCUGCAGCUGCGUGAGAAGUACGGGGACAAGAUGCUGCGCAUGCAGAAGGGCGACGCGCAGGUCUACGAGGAGCUCUUCAGUUACGCUUGCCCCAAGUUCCUCUCCCCUGUGGUGCCCAAUUAUGACAACGUGCACCCCAACUACCACAAGGAGCCUUUCCUGCAGCAGCUCAAGGUCUUCGCUGAUGAAGUUCAGCAACAGGCCCAGCUCUCAACCAUUCGUAGCUUCCUCAAACUCUACACCACCAUGCCUGUGGCGAAGCUGGCCGGCUUCUUAGACCUCACAGAGCAGGAGUUCCGUAUCCAGCUGCUCGUCUUCAAGCACAAGAUGAAGAACCUGGUGUGGACCAGUGGCAUAUCUGCCCUGGAUGGAGAGUUCCAGUCUGCCUCUGAGGUUGAUUUCUAUAUUGACAAGGACAUGAUCCAUAUUGCAGACACUAAGGUCGCUCGGCGCUACGGGGACUUCUUCAUCCGCCAGAUCCACAAGUUUGAGGAGCUGAACCGAACAUUGAAGAAGAUGGGCCAGAGACCCUAAUGUGGAUGCAGUGCAAGCCUGGGCAGAGAAUUGGGUGGGAGAGAUUAUUCUCUGUGUUGAGGGAGGGGAGCUCAGGACUCUGGCAUUUCUGGAAUCUCCUGUGACUCAGAAGAGCAGCUUCCAAAGGAUGCACAGAGACCAUCCACUGAUCUCCCUGGCUCCACGCCUUCUCUGAGGGACUGCCGAAGGUUAACUGAGCAGGACUGGCACUUGGUGGAACAAAGCCAGGAGGAGCUUGCAGUUCUCACUGGGUGGGA